GACGAACGCUGGCGGCGUGCUUAACACAUGCAAGUCGAACGGGAUCCAUGGAGCUUGCUCCGGAAGAUCUAGUGGCGAACGGGUGCGUAACACGUGAGAAACCUGCCCCAGACUUGGGAAUAACAGUCGGAAACGACUGCUAAUACCGAAUACCUUCGUAGCGUCGCAUGGCGCAUCGAAGAAAGCUUUUGCGGUUUGGGAGGGUCUCGCGGCCUAUCAGCUUGUUGGUGAGGUAACGGCUCACCAAGGCAUCGACGGGUAGCUGGUCUGAGAGGAUGAUCAGCCACACUGGGACUGAGACACGGCCCAGACUCCUACGGGUGGCAG
rnacentral:rRNA from 1 species